rnacentral:rRNA from 1 species
GCGACGACGGGUAGCCGGCCUGAGAGGGCGACCGGCCACACUGGGACUGAGACACGGCCCAGACUCCUACGGGAGGCAGCAGUGGGGAAUAUUGCACAAUGGGCGAAAGCCUGAUGCAGCGACGCCGCGUGAGGGAUGACGGCCUUCGGGUUGUAAACCUCUUUCAGCAGGGAAGAAGCGAGAGUGACGGUACCUGCAGAAGAAGCGCCGGCUAACUACGUGCCAGCAGCCGCGGUAAUACGUAGGGCGCAAGCGUUGUCCGGAAUUAUUGGGCGUAAAGAGCUCGUAGGCGGCUUGUCACGUCGGAUGUGAAAGCCCGGGGCUUAACCCCGGGUCUGCAUUCGAUACGGGCUAGCUAGAGUGUGGUAGGGGAGAUCGGAAUUCCUGGUGUAGCGGUGAAAUGCGCAGAUAUCAGGAGGAACACCGGUGGCGAAGGCGGAUCUCUGGGCCAUUACUGACGCUGAGGAGCGAAAGCGUGGGGAGCGAACAGGAUUAGAUACCCUGGUAGUCCACGCCGUAAACGUUGGGAACUAGGUGUUGGCGACAUUCCACGUCGUCGGUGCCGCAGCUAACGCAUUAAGUUCCCCGCCUGA